CUUGGUCAUUUAGAGGAAGUAAAAGUCGUAACAAGGUCUCCGUUGGUGAACCAGCGGAGGGAUCAUUACAGAGUUGCAAAACUCCCUAAACCAUUGUGAACGUUACCUUCAAACCGUUGCUUCGGCGGGCGGCCCGGGUCCGCCCGGUGCCCCCUGGCCCCCUUGCGGGGCGCCCGCCGGAGGAAAACCCAACUCUUGAUUAUUAUGGCCUCUCUGAGUCUUCUGUACUGAAUAAGUCAAAACUUUCAACAACGGAUCUCUUGGUUCUGGCAUCGAUGAAGAACGCAGCGAAAUGCGAUAAGUAAUGUGAAUUGCAGAAUUCAGUGAAUCAUCGAAUCUUUGAACGCACAUUGCGCCCGCCAGUAUUCUGGCGGGCAUGCCUGUUCGAGCGUCAUUUCAACCAUCAAGCCCCAGGCUUGUGUUGGGGACCUGCGGCUGCCGCAGGCCCUGAAAACCAGUGGCGGGCUCGCUGUCACACCGGGCGUAGUAGAUUUUAUCUCGCUCUGGGCGUGCUGCGGGUUCCGGCCGUUAAAAAACCUUUUUUACCCAAGGUUGACCUCGGAUCAGGUAGGGAUACCCGCUGAACUUAAGCAUAUCAAUAAGCGGAGGA
rnacentral:misc_RNA from 1 species